rnacentral:rRNA from 1 species
GAUCCUGGCUCAGGAUGAACGCUAGCUACAGGCUUAACACAUGCAAGUCGAGGGGAAACGACAUCGAAAGCUUGCUUUUGAUGGGCGUCGACCGGCGCACGGGUGAGUAACGCGCAUCCAACCUGCCCACCACUUGGGGAUAACCUUGCGAAAGUAAGACUAAUACCCAAUGAUAUCUCUAGAAGACAUCUGAAAGAGAUUAAGGAUUCAUCGGUGAUGGAUGGGGAUGCGU